CGGCGAUCCCCGUGUUGGGGUGGAUCUGUCUGAUGGGAACUAGGUGUGGUUUGCACCUCCCUUCUGCAGACAGGCAGGCCACACACACAAAUACCUCCACAAACCUGGGUGGAACCUACAGCGGUGAGUCUCCGGUAGCUCAGUUUUACUUGAACACACGACAACAGACGAGGCACCAUGUCUU